GUGAGGGAUAUUGCGCAAUGGGCGAAAGCCUGACGCAGCGACGCCGCGUGGGCGAAGAAGGUUUUCGGAUCGUAAAGCCCUUUUUCAGGUGACGAGGAAGGACGGUAGCCUGAGAAUAAGUGUCGGCUAACUACGUGCCAGCAGCCGCGGUAAAACGUAGGACGCAAGCGUUAUCCGGAGUUACUGGGCGUAAAGCGCGUGUAGGCGGGUCGAUAAGGCAGCUGUGAAAGCUCCUGGCAAAACUGGGAGAGGACGGCUGCGACUGUCGAUCUGGAGGGUGUCAGAGGGACGUGGAAUUCCGCGUGUAGUGGUGAAAUGCGUAGAGAUGCGGAGGAACACCAGUGGCGAAGGCGGCGUCCUGGGGCACAACUGACGCUGAGGCGCGAAAGCGUGGGGAGCGAACGGGAUUAGAUACCCGAGUAGUCC
rnacentral:rRNA from 1 species